CGCCCUGAAACACGUAGACAAUCAUAUUCCUAAUCUGAGGGUCACAGGUUCAAAUCCUGUCGGGGUCGCCA
rnacentral:tRNA from 1 species